AACGCAAAUUGCACUUUCUGGUAUUCCGGAGAGUAUGCCUGUUUGAGGGUCAGUGUAAUAAAAAUAAAUCGUGGUUGUUUCCACCUUUCGUGGUGACGCUUCGGAAUUGAGUCGUCUUACCUUCGGUUAAGUGACUUAAAAUUUUUUCAUACGAUUUCGAAACGUAUUUAAUGUAUUUACGUACGUUCACGAAUAUCGAAUGUUUAUUAGGUGCGGUCAUUUUCAUGAACUCGCGCCUAUAAUUUUUUUUUUGACCUCAAAUCAGGUAAGAGUACCCGCUGAACUUAA
rnacentral:misc_RNA from 1 species